rnacentral:rRNA from 1 species
CCAGACUCCUACGGGAGGCAGCAGUGGGGAAUAUUGGGCAAUGGGCGCAAGCCUGACCCAGCAACGCCGCGUGAAGGAAGAAGGCUUUCGGGUUGUAAACUUCUUUUCUCAGGGACGAAGCAAGUGACGGUACCUGAGGAAUAAGCCACGGCUAACUACGUGCCAGCAGCCGCGGUAAUACGUAGGUGGCAAGCGUUAUCCGGAUUUACUGGGUGUAAAGGGCGUGUAGGCGGGACUGCAAGUCAGAUGUGAAAACCACGGGCUCAACCUGUGGCCUGCAUUUGAAACUGUAGUUCUUGAGUACUGGAGAGGCAGACGGAAUUCCUAGUGUAGCGGUGAAAUGCGUAGAUAUUAGGAGGAACACCAGUGGCGAAGGCGGCCUGCUGGGCUUUUACUGACGCUGAGGCUCGAAAGUGUGGGGAGCAAACAGGAUUAGAUACCCUGGUAGU